CCUACGGGUGGCAGCAGUGGGGAAUAUUGCACAAUGGGGGAAACCCUGAUGCAGCAACGCCGCGUGAGUGCAGAAGUAUUUCGAUAUGUAAAGCUCUAUCAGCAGGGAAGAAGAUGACGGUACCUGCUUACUAAGCACCGGCUAAAUACGUGCCAGCAGCCGCGGUAAUAAGUAGGGGGCACGCGUUAUCCGGAUUUACUGGGUGUAAAGGGGGCGUAGACGGCAUAGCAAGUCUGAAGUGAAAGGCCAAGGCGCAAGCACGGGACUGCUUUGGAAACUGUUAAGCUAGAGUGCAGGAGAGGUAAGCGGAAUUCCUAGGGUAGCGGUGAAAGGCGUAGAGAUUAGGAAGAACACCAGUGGCGAAGGCGGCUGACUGGACAGUAACUGACGUUGAGGCUCGAAAGCGUGGGGAGCAAACAGGAUUAGAUACCCUAGUAGUC
rnacentral:rRNA from 1 species